CGCCGUCCUGAGAGAGAGAGAGAGAGAGAGAGAGAGAGAGAGGUACAGAGAGAAAGAGCGAGAGAGGUACAGAGAGAGAGAGCGAGAGUGGUACAGAGAGAAAGAGCGAGAGUGGUACAGAGAGAAAGAGCGAGAGUGGUACAGAGAGAAAGAGCGAGAGAGGUACAGAGAGAAAGAGCAAGAGAGGUACAGAGAGAGAGAGCGAGAGAGGUACAGAGAGAAAGAGCGAGAGUGGUACACAGAAAGAGCGAGAGUGGUACACAGAGAAAGAGCGAGAGUGGUACACAGAGAAAGAGCGAGAGUGGUACACAGAAAGAGCGAGAGUGGUACACAGAGAAAGAGCGAGAGUGGUACACAGAGAAAGAGCGAGAGUGGUACACAGAGAAAGAGCGAGA